GACGAACGCUGGCGGCGUGCUUAACACAUGCAAGUCGAACGGAAAGGCCCUGCUUUUGUGGGGUGCUCGAGUGGCGAACGGGUGAGUAACACGUGAGUAACCUGCCCUUGACUUUGGGAUAACUUCAGGAAACUGGGGCUAAUACCGGAUAGGAGCUCCUGCUGCAUGGUGGGGGUUGGAAAGUUUCGGCGGUAGGGGAUGGACUCGCGGCUUAUCAGCUUGUUGGUGGGGUAGUGGCUUACCAAGGGUUUGACGGGUAGCCGGCCUGAGAGGGUGACCGGCGACAGUGGGACUGAGAGACGGCCCAGACGCCUACGGGAGGCAGCAGUGGGAAAUAUUGCACAAUGGGCGGAAGCCUGAUGCAGCAACGCUGCGUGCGGGAUGACGGCCUUCUGGUUGUAAACCGCUUUGGCCUGUGACGAAGAGUGAGUGACGGUAAUGGGUAAAGAAGCACCGGCUAACUACGUG
rnacentral:rRNA from 1 species